rnacentral:rRNA from 1 species
UACGAAGGGUGCAAGCGUUACUCGGAAUUACUGGGCGUAAAGCGUGCGUAGGUGGUUUGUUAAGUCUGAUGUGAAAGCCCUGGGCUCAACCUGGGAAUUGCAUUGGAUACUGGCAGGCUAGAGUGCGGUAGAGGGUAGUGGAAUUCCCGGUGUAGCAGUGAAAAUGCGUAGAGAUCGGGAGGAACAUCAGUGCGAAGGCGGCUCUCUGGACCAGCACUGAACCACUGAGGCCACGAAAGCGUGGGGAG